UAUCUAUCUAUCCAUUUAAAAACUGUAAUUAUGAGAAUACUUUAUGGUGGUGUUACAUUUAUCCAAUCUCAGCAUUAUAAUUUUGGGAAAUAUUAUAAAGUUUUGUUGCUCAAUACUAUAGAACCCAAUAAAUUCAAUUAAAUUUUAAUUGAAUUUGACAAUUAUAUUUUAUAUUACUGUUGCUUAUUGAAUUGAAUUUAUUGAAAUCUGCAAAAUUAAAAGUCAGUACCAUAGAUAUUAUAAUAUUAUGGCUAUAAAAAGGCAAGCAAAUAAAUUGACAUAGGAAUCACUAUAUCAUACUUCAGGGGGAAAUGUCAAUUUGUUUUAGGAUAUCUCAAAUUGAUUCAUUCAUUCAAUCAACAUAUACUAGACUCACAUUGUGUGUGGAGUCUAAUGCUUGACACUAGGAAAGAUACAAAGUUUAAACCAGACAAUCUUUGAUCUUCUUUUACAAACAUUUAUUAAGCAAUUACUAAUAUUACUGUAUUAAGUGCUGGAAAAUUUUUUUAAAAGUUUUGUUUUUUGUUCUCAGAGUUCUUUUUUGGAUCAAUUAUUAUAAAGUUGGAAGGAACCUUAAAAUUUAAUUAGUCCAAUUCUCUCAUUUACAAAAGAGGAAGUUGAGGCAAAGAUAAGUGAAAUGACUUGCCCAAGAUCAAUCUGAAAUGGAAAAAGUCACUUCCUUUAUGGAGUUUAUAUGAUUUAGGAUAAAACACAAAUCUAAAUAAUGUUUUAAAUUGCAUGUUAAAUGUAUUAAGCAAUUGUGUAGCACUUUUGUGUGGGGACUUUUGUGUUGGGAAUUUAUUUGGGGUGAGGAGGAAGAAUAUUUAAGAGAAAAAUAAGAGAAGCAGAGAGGGGCUUCAAGGAAAACAGAAUAUCUGAGUUCAGCAUUAAAGGAUUAAAGAAUGGGAGGAAAUAAAAUAGGUAAAGUGACAUUUCAAAUUAAACAUGAUAACAUAAAAGGAUAAAUAAAUUGAAUAAUAAUGGAUAAAUGGAACUCAUUAUUUCACCACCAUCCCAAAUCCAUCUCUCCAAAUUUCUCUACUUCUAUUGAAUGUAACAUCAUGCUUUCAGAUGCCAAGGUAAACAAUGUUAGAAUUAGCCUUGACUUCUUUUCUCCAUUCCCAUUCUCCAUUCCCAAAUAGUUGCCGACUUUUGUUGAUUCUACUUCUAUUAACAUUUCUAAAAACCAUCUCUUCAUUCACAAAUUCACUAAAUAAGUUUCAGCCCUCAUAACUUUUUGACUGGACUAGUGUCUUAGCUUCCUAAUUAAUCUACAUGCUUCUUUUUAUAAUCCUUUUUACACAGAGAUGCCAAAACAGAUCUAACCAUGUCAUUCCCCAACCCAAAAAAUCUUCAGUAGUUUCCUAUUGACUCUAGAAUAAAAUAUAACCUCCCCAACCUAAACAUUCCUCAAUAUGACUAUGUGCUAGGUCUAAUUCUGGCCCCAUAGUAUUGGUUUUAUUCAAUCUUAAAGAUCCCAGCUUCAAAAAGUCCCAAGUGAAUUUUAACAACUAUAAUAUAAUGUUGAAACUGCACAGUAGAUCAGGAUGAUUAAGAGUUAAAUCAGAAAAUCAGGUCAUGGACAUACUCAGUGACAUCUUUGUUCUUUGUUUUGCUAUGAAGCCCCUUAUGAGGUAAUGGCUAUCUUCAUGGAGGAAUGAGGCCCUGAGCUCUAGGAAAGUUUCUCAGAGUCCAGGCAAGGCCAUGAAAGCCAGCACCUAUUUCUAAGAGAAAAGGCUCCAAAACCUACAAAGUGAACAACAGGGUUUCCUGUCAUCCUCAGAAUACUGUAGAAAAGAAUGCAGUAUCACAGCUUUCUCCAAGCACACAGCAUUUUUAAGUAUACAUACUCAGAUGAAGGAGAAAAAGAAAAUAGUCAGAGAAAUAGAAGAACCAGGGGUCCUAAAGCCAAGGAAGGAGAAAAGAACAUCAAAUAGAUGGUUAACAAUGUGAGAAUCUGAAAAAGUUCGAGGAUGAAGACUAACAGGGAAAAAAAAAAAAGAUUCCCUUGAAGAAACUAGCUUCAAUUGAAAAGUAUGGAAGCACUGAAGAAAGACCAAACAGUGAUGAAGUGUGGCAUAAAUGACUUUUUCAAGAAAUUUAACAGUGAAGGAGAAGAAAGAGAGAAGCUACACAGGAUAGAAGGAUGAGGGAAAUCAUUUUUUAGAAGAGGGGAAGGCUUUUUACAUCAUUUUUUACAUAAUUCUCCUAAAGGACUAAUGUCAUAACACUUUUUUUUCUUUUCUGACCCCAUCAUUAUUGAUGACAACUUUCUAUUACAUUAUAAGCUUCUUGAAGGCAAAUAUUGCCUUCUCUAAACCUUUUUAUCUUCUCCACCAACAAACACAGAACUCCCUAAUAUUUAUUAAAUGUUUGUUAGUUUAAUAGUAAUAAAAAUUCUAUAAUGUAAUGCCCAUAUUUUAUUUCUCAUAAUAAACACUUCAACAUAAGAUUAUCAGGCUAAAAAUUGUUUUUCACAUUUAUAUGAAUUCUUUUUAUAUCUAAGAUCACUGUUACUUUUCUAAACUUAUCCCAAAAUAUCUCCCUGUAAGUAUUAUCUCUAAAUUAGACUACUCAUCCAAUCUUUACACAUCCCACACCAGGCCUUUGCCCACCCCCUCUUUAUACUUAAAAUGUCCUUCCUCCAAUUUGUCUACUGAAAUUCUAGUGUUCAAAAUUCAGUCCAAAUGCUUCCUCUUUAAAGAAGACUACCUUGAUCAUCCUAGUCAGAAAUGACCUUUUCAACCACAGAUCUCACAUGCAUUCACUUAUAUAAUCUAUUUUGUAUUACAUUUAUUUGUAUGUGUUAUAUCCUCUUAUUAGAAUGUUUAAACUCCAACAACUUUAUUUCUCUUUAUGUCUUCUCCAAGACAAAUGUCCAGCAUAUAAUAAGUAUUUAAUAAAUGUUUGUUAAAUUUAACAAAAAUUCUGAAAAAAUUCAAAACAUAAGAACAGAAAAGUUAAUUCACAAGACUAAAAUGAUUACUCUAAUACCAGAACUCAAAAUAACAUUUGCUAAAAAUGUAAUGCUACUUAUAAUAUAGUAAGUCCUGCAAAUAAAAGAUAUAUAAAUGUUCUUGAGACAGUAAAGAUAGGAAGGAACUUAAAGGGAAUGGGAAGGACCUUUGUUUUCAUUGGUAUAGAGAACUUGUAAUUAUCACAUUUCCCUUAUUCUUUAGCUUAUCAUUUUAAAGAGUUGCUCAGGGCUCUUGGAGGUUAACUGACUUAGGGCUUGAAAUACAUAGCCACUGUAUGUUCUCUGUAGCCAGUUCUCUUUUCUCAUUAUCAAGUGAUGGGGACAUUUUCAGGUCACUAGAGAUAUCUAAACAUAUAAUCUUAAUUAUUAACAUAAAUUAACCAUGUGUCAAGACAGUCUCUCCAUAAAUAGGAGAGCAAACAGAUAACAGGAUGUGAAGAUUUAAUUUCAAAUAAUAAUUUGUUGAAGUGAGUACAGAAUGAAAUAAUUCAUAAGGAAACAAUGAGACAACAUAAACCAAUCUUAGGAACCAAGUAAGAAAAUGUUGUGAAUUAGAUAUCUGUAUUAUCCAUGUACAUUAUGAAAUGAAUUUCUUUAUAAAAAUCCUUAGAACACAACUCUCUGAUUCUGGUCAGCAUUAAUUUCUGAGGAAAUAUUUUAAAAUAUAAUACUGUCAUGUGCU